UCGAUUAAGCCAUGCGAGUCGAGAGGUGCAAGACCUCGGCAUACUGCUCAGUAACACGUGGACAAUCUAACCUAUGGAAGGGGAUAACCCCGGGAAACUGGGGRUAGUACCCUAUAGACUAUGAAUGCUGGAAUGCUUUGUAGUCCAAAGGUCAGCCGCCAUAGGAUGGGUCUGCGGCCGAUUAGGUUGUUGUUGGGGUAACGGCCCAACAAGCCUGUAAUCGGUACGGGUUGUGGGAGCAAGAGCCCGGAGAUGGAUUCUGAGACACGAAUCCAGGCCCUACGGGGCGCAGCAGGCGCGAAAACUUUACAAUGCGGGAAACCGUGAUAGGGGAACUCCGAGUGCCCGUUAAAUCGGGCUGUCCAUCAGUUAAAUAACUGGUGAAGA
rnacentral:rRNA from 1 species